CCCCUGCUGUUGCUGGACUUCAACUCCCAUCACCCCUGACUACUGGCCCUGCUAGCUAAGGAUGAUGGGAGUUGUAGUCCAGCAAUAGCUGGGG